AUUGAACGCUGGCGGCAUGCCUUACACAUGCAAGUCGAACGGCAGCGGGGACUUCGGUCCGCCGGCGAGUGGCGAACGGGUGAGUAAUGUAUCGGAACGUACCAUUCAGUGGGGGAUAACUAUCCGAAAGGAUAGCUAAUACCGCAUAUUCUGUGAGCAGGAAAGCAGGGGAUCGCAAGACCUUGCGCUGAUUGAGCGGCAGAUAUCAGAUUAGCUAGUUGGUGAGGUAACGGCUCACCUAGGCUACGAUCUGUAGCGGGUCUGAGAGGAUGAUCCGCCACACUGGGACUGAGACACGGCCCAGACUCCUACGGGAGGCAGCAGUGGGGAAUUUUGGACAAUGGGCGCAAGCCUGAUCCAGCCAUGCCGCGUGAGUGAAGAAGGCCUUCGGGUUGUAAAGCUCUUUCGGCCGGGAAGAAAUCGCAUCAGCUAAUACCUGGUGUGGAUGACGGUACCGGUAUAAGAAGCACCGGCUAACUACGUGCCAGCCGCCGCAGUAAUAC
rnacentral:rRNA from 1 species